rnacentral:rRNA from 1 species
GACGAACGCUGGCGGCGUGCUUAACACGUGCAAGUCGAACGGAAAGGCCCUGCUUUUGUGGGGUGCUCGAGUGGCGAACGGGUGAGUAACACGUGAGUAACCUGCCCUUGACUUUGGGAUAACUUCAGGAAACUGGGGCUAAUACCGGAUAGGAGCUCCUGCUGCAUGGUGGGGGUUGGAAAGUUUCGGCGGUUGGGGAUGGACUCGCGGCUUAUCAGCUUGUUGGUGGGGUAGUGGCUUACCAAGGCUUUGACGGGUAGCCGGCCUGAGAGGGUGACCGGCCACAUUGGGACUGAGAUACGGCCCAGACUCCUACGGGAGGCAGCAGUGGGGAAUAUUGCACAAUGGGCGGAAGCCUGAUGCAGCAACGCCGCGUGCGGGAUGACGGCCUUCGGGUUGUAAACCGCUUUCGCCUGUGACGAAGCGUGAGUGACGGUAAUGGGUAAAGAAGCACCGGCUAACUACGUGCCAGCAGCCGCGGUGAUACGUAGGGUGCGAGCGUUGUCCGGAUUUAUUGGGCGUAAAGGGCUCGUAGGUGGUUGAUCGCGUCGGAAGUGUAAUCUUGGGGCUUAACCCUGAGCGUGCUUUCGAUACGGGUUGACUUGAGGAAGGUAGGGGAGAAUGGAAUUCCUGGUGGAGCGGUGGAAUGCGCAGAUAUCAGGAGGAACACCAGUGGCGAAGGCGGUUCUCUGGGCCUUUCCUGACGCUGAGGAGCGAAAGCGUGGGGAGCGAACAGGCUUAGAUACCCUGGUAGUCCACGCUGUAAACGGUGGGUACUAGGUGUGGGGUCCAUUCCACGGGUUCCGUGCCGUAGCUAACGCUUUAAGUACCCCGCCUGGGGAGUACGGCCGCAAGGCUAAAACUCAAAGGAAUUGGCGGGGCCCCGCACAAGCGGCGGAGCAUGCGGAUUAAUUCGAUGCAACGCGUAGAACCUUACCUGGGUUUGACAUGGAUCGGGAGUGCUCAGAGAUGGGUGUGCCUCUUUUGGGGUCGGUUCACAGGUGGUGCAUGGCUGUCGUCAGCUCGUGUCGUGAGAUGUUGGGUUAAGUCCCGCAACGAGCGCAACCCUUGUUCACUGUUGCCAGCACGUUAUGGUGGGGACUCAGUGGAGACCGCCGGGGUCAACUCGGAGGAAGGUGGGGAUGACGUCAAGUCAUCAUGCCCCUUAUGUCCAGGGCUUCACGCAUGCUACAAUGGCUGGUACAGAGAGUGGCGAGCCUGUGAGGGUGAGCGAAUCUCGGAAAGCCGGUCUCAGUUCGGAUUGGGGUCUGCAACUCGACCUCAUGAAGUCGGAGUCGCUAGUAAUCGCAGAUCAGCAACGCUGCGGUGAAUACGUUCCCGGG